rnacentral:antisense_RNA from 1 species
UUAUAUGGCGGCCAUGCGUAGGGCACCUCGAGUGCGCCGGGUUUCCAGGUUUCCGGUCUACCAACCUCCGUAUGGUCGCCACCCUC